rnacentral:rRNA from 1 species
AUUGAACGCUGGCGGCAUGCCUUACACAUGCAAGUCGAACGGCAGCGGACCUUCGGGUGCCGGCGAGUGGCGAACGGGUGAGUAAUGCAUCGGAACGUACCUUUCAGUGGGGGAUAACGUAGCGAAAGUUACGCUAAUACCGCAUAUUCUGUGAGCAGGAAAGCAGGGGAUCGCGAGACCUUGCGCUGAUUGAGCGGCCGAUGUCAGAUUAGCUAGGUGGUGAGGUAAAGGCUCACCAAGGCGACGAUCUGUAGCGGGUCUGAGAGGAUGAUCCGCCACACUGGAACUGAGACACGGUCCAGACUCCUACGGGAGGCAGCAGUGGGGAAUUUUGGACAAUGGGGGCAACCCUGAUCCAGCCAUGCCGCGUGAGUGAAGAAGGCCUUCGGGUUGUAAAGCUCUUUCGGCCGGGAAGAAAUCGCACGGGCUAAUACCCUGUGUGGAUGACGGUACCGGAAUAAGAAGCACCGGCUAACUACGUGCCAGCCGCCGCCGUAAAAC